CUACAAGGGAUUGCUCCGGCCUCUUUGCUGUUGUUGUUGUGAGAUAUAUACCGGAAACACUACUACAUAAAAACUUUUCUGAGGCGGGCAUAUUCGAUUUAUCGAGGCGGGCAUCACAACCGCCUCAGACGAAAGGUCACGCUAAAUGAGAACUUUUCCGAGGCGGAUGCCCGCCUCGGUAAAUCAAAUAAAAAACAAAAAAAAUGCCCAUAGCCCUACCGGGCCUGGAUUUGGGCUUUGCCGCUAACACCCCUGCUCGAUGCCUCUGCCGCCACCAGGGGAUCGAGCUUGAUUCGGAGGAGCCACCGUCGUCUGAGGGGGCCACGCGCGUGCCCCAUCGCUAAAGACCCGCGCUAGACGGAUCUGUCACCAUUGGGACUCUGGCUAGGGAAGGAGGGGAAUGCC
rnacentral:lncRNA from 1 species